GACGAACGCUGGCGGCGUGCUUAACACAUGCAAGUCGAACGGAAAGGCCCUGCUCUUGUGGGGUUCUCGAGUGGCGAACGGGUGAGUAACACGUGAGUAACCUGCCCUUGACUUAGGGAUAACUUCAGGAAACUGGGGCUAAUACCGGAUAUGAGCUCCUGCUGCAUGGGGGGGGUUGGAAAGUUUCGGCGGUUGGGGAUGGACUCGCGGCUUAUCAGCUUGUUUGUGUGGUAGUGGCUUACAAAGGCUUUGACGGGUAGCCGGCCUGAGAGGGUGGCCGGCCACAUUGGGACUGAGAUACGGCCCAGAAUCCUACGGGACGCAGCAGUGGGGAAUAUUGCACAAUGGGGGGAAGCCUGAUGCAGCAACGCCGCGUGCGGGAUGCCGGCCUUCGGGUUGUAAACCGAUUUCGCAUGUGACGAAGCGUGAGUGACGGUAAUGGGUAAAGAAGCACCGGCUAACUACGUG
rnacentral:rRNA from 1 species